UCGCCAGCAGCCGCGGUAAUACGGGAGGGUGCGAGCGUUAAUACGGAAUUACGUGGGACGUAAAGCGCAUGCAGGCGGCCUGUUAAGUCAGAUGUAGAAACGGCCCGGGGACCUUAACCGUACGGUAAUUGCUAUUUAGUAAACGUGGCGAGGCUAGAGUCUUGUAGAGGGGGGUAGGAAUUUCAGGUGUAGCGGUGAAAUGCGUAGAGAUCUGAAGGAAUACCAGUGGCGAAGGCGGCCCCCUGGACAAAGACUGACGCUCAGAUGCGAAAGCGUGGGGAGCAAACAGGAUUAGAUACCCUGGUAG
rnacentral:rRNA from 1 species